rnacentral:rRNA from 1 species
AUGCAGGUCGUGGUGGUACUUCUCAAGGUAGCAGUAGGAGAAGGCCGGGUCGGGUGCUCGUCAGCAGGCAGCGAAACACGCUGCUGCUGCUCGAAGAAGGCGGUGGCACGCUUGCGGCCGAACGGAGGGAGGACGAGGCGUGGGCGCGAGGUGACGAAGCAGCAGCUGCAAGGGCAGAGCGAGGUCGGCGCUGCGGCGCAGCUCGACGGCGGCAAGGCAGCAGGGGGAACCGGGCAGGAGGAAGGAGAGGCCGGCGGCUGCGUACAAGAAGCAACCGAGGCGCGGCUUCAGUCCAUGGCGACGACGAGGCGGGUCAAGGGCGUCGGCGCUCCUGGUUCCAGCGGGAGGAAGAACAUCCCAGUCACCGCUCGGGAGGCACGAAGCAGAGGGAGGAGAGGAGGCUCCAGCUUGGUCGUGGCCUCGUCGGCCGGCGAGGCGUCUGAGGCAGGGAAGGAGCACGGGCGACGUGCUUGGGGCCGGCACGGUGGUCUCCAUGGCCGUCCGCUCCACGAGAAGGUUCAGGGCAGCGCCCCUCGCCGGAGGCAGGGAGGCAGCGGCGAUCCGGCGACGCGGUGCAGUAGAGGGAGGCAAGGGGACGCGAGCUCCUGGCGCUGGCUGCGGGGCGCGGUACGGGUGUGCAUGAGUGCGCGACGGCGUUGGGAGGGAACGAGGGAGAGAGAAGGGAUCGAGAGGGAGGACUCUGGCGGCGCUGAGGGAAAACGAGGGAAGGGAGCAAUGGAUCGGGCAGGACGCGGCUAG